GCGUUUUGUCACAUACUAAUUGGCACUGUACGAAUCCAGAACGAAACUUCAAUUUACCUCCAACGUGCAAAGUGAUGGUUUCAACAUUAAUUAUAACAAAAUUAGAAUUCGCUUGAAUGCAUACCGAUGCAGGCUGGAGAAACAAAAUUACAACUGUUUCACAUGGAGCAAAUUUGAAAGUUUGCCGGUAAGAAAAGAAGGGAAUAGAGACAUUCACUUGGAGAACAAUUAACUAAACUAUGAAUACGUGAAGCCGGCCUUCUAAGCGCAAAGACGCAAAGAUUUUAAUCGCUUAGCACAAAAUUGCUCCCGAUUAACGGUUCUAUUAGACAAAGGAGAUUUUGAAGAAAUGUCUAUUGUGGCUGCGAUUUACGUGCAGGCAUUUGACAGUCGCACUAUUGUUGUGAACCGAGAGCGGCCGUGACCGCGAUGGAGAUCGGGAGGACGGUUGUGUUUAAUUCAAUUGUUAGUCCUUACAACUGACACAUCAGUAUUAAUGCCUAAUGGAAAGGAUUAACUAAACUUUAAGUGGAGCAGCAAGUUCUAUAUUUUAUUGUUUAAUGAUAUGUGACAUUUUUGUUACAACAAUUUCCAUGAAUUAUCUAUUAAAAUUCGUUUUGUUAGAGUAUGAAGAGUGGAAAGUCAUCCAUAAAAGUAAGGAACAUAAAAUCGAAAGUACGAACGAAGUAUCAAAUUUAUUAUUAGAUUCAAAUGUAAAUCUAGAAGAUGAUAAAGUUGGGAUAACUUGCAACAUUCAAGGAUGUCCAACAUUGAAACAUUCAAAUUGCAUUUACCUGUAUUUCUAAAUAAAUCUGGCUUUGCCAUUGAUUAAAGAGAUGCUGUCUGAAAAGCCAUACAAAAAAGGCAAGCAGUUGAUCAUCUUAAUAUAGAUAUACUUGAUUUCUAGAACAUGGAAGAGCAAGCAUUGGAGCGGUCUGCCACAAUCAAACACAAAGAGAAGAAACAACAGUCUUUAAAUUUGAUGAUUCACCUAGCAAAAAAAAAGGAACAUUGAUGUAUGGAUGAAAAAUAUGAAGUCUCCGAAUUUUGACAGAAUGUAAAGUCUUAUGAGAAAAGAAUGGAGGACAAAACUCACAUGCUGAAAAGAAAUAUGAGAAAAAACAGUUAACUACACUUCAAACGGAGCUGCAGUAUAAAGAAUAGUAAGCCAUCUUAUAGAGGUAGAGAAUGUAAAAUCCAAAUUACGAGAGAAGUAUGAAAGCAAUUGUUCAUUAAAAAAUUGUAUCACGUUGUUAAAGAAUUAAUUAUUUUUGCAAUUAACGUAAACCGUUGGGAAUCAUUUAAAUGUAUAUCUAGAAGAGGGUCGGUGCAACAAUGGCACGUUUAAAUCACAUUUGCUCGUAUUUCUAAUUAAAUCUGGCUUGCUACCGAUUAAAGACAUGUCGCCAGAAAAACCAUACAGAAAAGACAAGAAGCAACUGGUCAACAUCUCAAGUCAGACUAAAUAAAUCAUCCUAAUGUGAAUCAUUUUUUUAAUCAUUAUUUUGUGCAAACGGCUUUGCAAUUGUGAAAUCUUCUACUGUAAGCGUGCGCUUUUGCUGCAUGAGGUCAGCUACAAGUUACUUAGUUUCUGAUUCAUACAAGUUAAUUGAUAGACCUGCAACAUUGUACCUUUGUCAAUCAAGACUUCACAAUUUUCUUCUAAUGAUACUUCUCUUGUUAAUUGAUUUGAUUCGAUAGUGUUGUCAAAUGUUUCAGAAGAAUGCAUCGAUGUAUUAGUUUGUCUCUCGUCGACGUACUUAUUUAUUUCAAAUUCUGCAAUGUUAAACUUUUGUCAACCCAGACUUCGUAACAUUCUUCUGAGGUAUUAGUUUGUGUCACAUACUGAACAUAGAAUACAAAGUACAAUACAAUACAGAAUAAUACAACAAUAAGUUGAAACUAUGUUAUUGCAGCAUUAACAACGAUAUUGUUGAGGUAAGUUCAAGUUGUUAAUACCUAACAUACUCCAAUUUGUAAUGCAAAACUUCAUAUCUUUAUUUAUGCAGGAUCCUGUGAAAUUUGUGAAAAUCGAAAAAGAGAAGAUAAUAUAACAAUUGAACAAUUGUAUCGUUUUCGGAACCUAUAUACCAAAUAAAAAUGUAGAUAGAUAGAUUGAAAGAAUUAAUAAAGACGUAGGAGUCUAUUGCUUUGCAAUUGCUUGAAGCUCCUACAAAAAAAGAUA